CCUAAAAAGAACGGCACUUACCAGCAGUUGAAGCUGCCAUCGGGCUGCUGGGGGCCCUGCCGUACUGGGGGCAGGCUGACAGCCCCAGCGGCGCCAGCCUGAGCCCUCCUGCCCCCUUGCUGCUCUGUGCUGCCCUGGGGGGCUCUGCCAGGAGGCCCCAGAGCCCCCCCAGCCCUGCUUCUCAGAAAAAAAUAAUAGCCGCUGUUUUCCAAAGAAGGCAGAAAAUAGGAUCAGAAGUGAUGAUGAUUCUGCAGGUUGUGUUGCCCUCUUCAGAAUAAGGACUGUUCUAGUGUGAUGUUGGACACAACUGAUGAAGCUGCUUGAGUCAUUUGAUAAUCUUCCAUAAAGAGACUGCAGAAAAAUGAUACUUUGACCCUUUUGGAAGAGGAAGUGUUUACAAAGCAUAUAAAUAGACUGCAAUGAAUCCAGAAUACAUUAAUUGUAAGCACAGUAGUCAGAAACUUGGAGAGCUCUAAAAAUUAGGAAUUUGAAUUACCUAAACACUCAAGGUUUAUUUACGGGCUGCAUGAAGAUGUAUAAAUGCCACUUCUUAAUUUGAUGGCCUGAUUUCAGUCCUGAAGUCUAUGCGUAGAAUGCAAUUGAAGUACGACUGUCCCAAGACCUGAAUUUCAGCUAAAAGGCCAGGGACUGAAUGGACAUGAAGGACUGUUCCCAAUGAUAUUUCUUGGACAGGACUCAGGCAUACUGGCAGGGGACUGUAGGGGAAUAUUG